rnacentral:rRNA from 1 species
CAAGUCGAACGGAGCUGAGAGGAGCUUGCUUUUCUUAGCUUAGUGGCGAACGGGUGAGUAACGCGUGAGUAACCUGCCCUGGAGUGGGGGAUAACAGUUGGAAACGACUGCUAAUACCGCAUAAGCCCACGGGUCGGCAUCGACCAGAGGGAAAAGGAGUGAUCCGCUUUGAGAUGGCCUCGCGUCCGAUUAGCUAGUUGGUGAGGUAACGGCCCACCAAGGCGACGAUCGGUAGCCGGACUGAGAGGUUGAACGGCCACAUUGGGACUGAGACACGGCCCAGACUCCUACGGGAGGCAGCAGUGGGGAAUAUUGCACAAUGGGGGAAACCCUGAUGCAGCGACGCCGCGUGGAGGAAGAAGGUCUUCGGAUUGUAAACUCCUGUUGUUGGGGAAGAUAAUGACGGUACCCAACAAGGAAGUGACGGCUAACUACGUGCCAGCAGCCGCGGUAAAACGUAGGUCACAAGCGUUGUCCGGAAUUACUGGGUGUAAAGGGAGCGCAGGCGGGAAGACAAGUUGGAAGUGAAAUCCAUGGGCUCAACCCAUGAACUGCUUUCAAAACUGUUUUUCUUGAGUAGUGCAGAGGUAGGCGGAAUUCCCGGUGUA